rnacentral:rRNA from 1 species
UACGUAGGGCGCAAGCGUUGUCCGGAAUUAUUGGGCGUAAAGAGCUCGUAGGCGGUUUGUUGCGUCUGCUGUGAAAACCUAAGGCUCAACCUUGGGCUUGCAGUGGGUACGGGCAGACUAGAGUGCGGUAGGGGUGACUGGAAUUCCUGGUGUAGCGGUGGAAUGCGCAGAUAUCAGGAGGAACACCGAUGGCGAAGGCAGGUCACUGGGCCGCAACUGACGCUGAGGAGCGAAAGCCAGGGGAGCAAACGGG